CACGUGGAUAACCUACCUAUAAGACUGGGAUAACUUCGGGAAACCGGAGCUAAUACCGGAUAAUAUUUUGAACCGCAUGGUUCAAAAGUGAAAGACGGUCUUGCUGUCACUUAUAGAUGGAUCUGCGCUGCAUUAGCUAGUUGGUAAGGUAACGGCUUACCAAGGCAACGAUGCAUAGCCGACCUGAGAGGGUGAUCGGCCACACUGGAACUGAGACACGGUCCAG
rnacentral:rRNA from 1 species